GAUGAACGCUGACAGAAUGCUUAACACAUGCAAGUCUACUUGAUUCUACUUCGGUAGUUGAUGGUGGCGGACGGGUGAGUAACGCGUAAAGAAUCUGCCCUUUAGUUUGGGAUAACCUUUGGAAACGAAGGCUAAUACCGGAUAUUAUGGAGACGUCGCAUGGCGACUCCAUGAAAGCUAUAUGCGCUAGAGGAGGACUUUGCGUCCCAUUAGUUAGUUGGUGAGGUAAUGGCUCACCAAGACCGCGAUGGGUAGCCGGCCUGAGAGGGUGAUCGGCCACAAGGGAACGGAGACACGGUCCUUACUCCUACGGGAGGCAGCAGUGGGGAAUAGUGGACAAUGGGCCACAAGCCUGAUCCAGCAAUUCUGUGUGCACGAUGAAGGUCUUCGGAUUGUAAAGUGCUUUCAGUAGGGAAGAAAAAAUGACGGUACCUACAGAAGAAGCGACGGCUAAAUAUGUGCCAGCAGCCGCCGUAACAC
rnacentral:rRNA from 1 species